UUUCACUCCUACAACAUCCUCACCUAUAGUGCCAGUUUCAACAACAACUGAUGCAUCAACAACAACUUUGUCUGACACCACAACAACAACAACUGAUGCAAUAACAGUUUUGGCUUCCACAACCACACCUCUGAAAUCGACCACUAUAGCACCAGCAUCAACAUCUGAUGCAGAAACCACAACUAUGUCAGACACCACAACAACAAUUGAUACAACAACAUCUUUGGCUUCCACAACCACGUUUCUAACAUCCUCAACGGUUGAACCAACGUCAACAACAUCUGAUGUCGCAACCACAAGUUUUCCUGAUACCACAACAAUGAUAGGUGCAACAACAACUUUGGCUUCCACAAUCACUCCUACAUCAUCCUCAACUGUAGUGCCAGUAUCAACAACAACUUAUGCAUCAACAAUAACUAUGUCUGACACCAAAACAACAACUGAUGGAACAACAAUUUUGGCUUCCACAACCACACCUCUGACAUCGACCACUAUAGCACCAGCAUCAACAUCUGAUGCAGCAACCACAACUAUGCCUGACACUACAACAACAAUUGAAACAACAACAUCUUUGGCUUCCACAACCACCUCUUCAACAUCCUCAACGGUUGAACCAACGUCAACAACAUCUGAUGCAGCAACCACAAGUAUUCCUGAUACCACAACAAUGAUAGAUGCAACAACAUCCUCAACUGUAGCACAAACACUGACAACUCAUGCUACAACCACAACUAUGUCUGACAGCACAACAACUAUUGAUGCAACAACAACUAUGGCUUCCACAAACACCCCUUCAACAUUCUCAACUGCAGUACCAACGUCAACAACUGUAACACCAAUGUCAACAACUGAUGCAGCAACCAUAACUAUGCCUGACACCACAACCACUAUUGAUGCAAUAACAGUUUUGGAUUCCACAACAAUAUCACCAACAUUCUCAGCUGCAGCAAAAAUGCUGACGUCUGAUGCAGCAACCAAAAUGAUGCAUGACAUCACCACAGCUGCUGAUGCAAUAACAUCUUUGGCUUCCACAACCAACCAUCCAACAUCCUCAACUGUAGCACCAGCAUCAGCAACCGCACAUGUGCCAGACACUGCAACAACUAUUGUCAUUGCAGUACCAACAUCGACAACUGUGGCACCAGUGUCAAUAACUGAUGAAGCAACAACCAUUAUGCCUAACACCACAAAAACUACUGAUGCAACAACAACUUUGGCUUCCACAACAACUCCUCCAGCAUCUUCAACUGUAGCACAAAUUUUGACAACUGAUGCAGCAGCAACAACCAUGCCUGACACCACAAAAACUACUGAUGCAGAAACAACUUUGGAUUCCACAACCACCCCUCAAGCGUUAACAGGUCAUGCAACAACCCUAACUAUGCCUGAUAUCACAACGAAUAUUUAUGCAACAACAACUUUGGCCAUAACCACCCAUCCAACAUCCUCAACUGUGGCACCAUUGUCAACAACAAAUGUAGCAUCAACCACAAGUAUGCUUGACACCACAGCAACUACUGAUGUGACAGCAACUUUGGCUUCUACAACCACUUCUCCAGAUUCCUCAACAGUGGCAAAAACAUUGACAACUGAUGCAGCAACCAUAACUAUGUCUAACAGCACAACUAUUUAUGCAACUACUUUGGCUUUUAUAACCACCUCUGUAGCAUCCUCAACUGCAGUACCAACAUCGACAACUGAUGGAACAACAACUAUGCCUGACUUUACAACAAUUAUUGAUGCAACAACUUUAGAUAGCACAUCCACCCUUUCAACAUCUUCAACUGUGGCAACAAUGUCAACAAAAACUGAAGUGGCAACCACAAUUCUCUCUGACACCACAGAAACUACUGAUGCAAAAACAAAUUUGGCUUCCAGAACCAUUCCUCAAAUAUCAUCAACUAUAGCACCAGCAUCAUCAACUGAUGCAGCAACCACAACUAUGCCAGACACAACAUCUUUGCUUAGCGCCAGCAUCCCUCCAACAUCCUCAACUGUAGCAUCAUCAGCUGGGUUAGCAACCACACCUAUGCCUGACAACACAAUAGCACUUCGAAAAACAACUACUGGUGCAACAACAACAAUUUUGGCUACCACAAGCACUACUCCAACAUCCUCAAAUGUAGCACCAACAUUGACAACUGAUUCGGCAACUAAAACUAAGCUUGAAUCCUCAACCACUAUUGGUGCAACAACAAGAACCCCUCAAAUAUCCUCAACUAUGCUCAAGCCUUACAUCACAACAAUUAUUGAAACAACAACAAAUUUGGUUACCAAAACCACUAAUCCAACAUCCACAACCACAGCACAGGUGUUGACAAGUGACUCAGCAAUGACAACUAUUGCUGAUGCAACAACAGUACUUCCAACAACAACUAGUCAUGAAACAACAACCUUGGCUAUCACUAGCACCCCUCUAGAGUCCUCAUCUAAUGUAGCAACCACAACUUUGCCUGAACAUACAACACAUACUGGUGCAAAUACAACAACAACAACAACAACAAAUACUAUUGAUGCAGCAGUCACAACUAUGUCUGAAAUAACAACAGUGUUUCCAACAAAUGCUACUAUUGUUGAGACAACUACAACUUUGGUUUCCACAACAACAAACAAUCCUACAACAAUUACUGCGGCUGAAACCACAACAUAUCUUCCAAAUACAGCUACUGGCGAGACAAUAGCAAAUUUGGCCACAUCUCCAACAUCCUUAUCUAUAGCACAAAAGUUGACUGACACAACCAUCCCUUCAACAUCCUCAAAUAUAGCACCAAAAUCAACAACUGAUGCAGCAACCACAACUUCACCUAAAACAACAACAGUACUUUCCAAAACAACUAUUAGUGCAACAGCUUUGGCUGCCAAAAGUACCCCUCCAGUGUCCUCAUCUGUAGCACCAACAUUGACAACUGAUGCAGCAAACGCAACUAUGGCUGAAAAAGAAACAGUUCUUCCAACAAAAACUUUUGGUGCAACAACAAAAUUUGUUCUAGCACCAACAAUGACAUCUGAUGCAACAAUCAGAACUUUGCCUGAAACAUCAAUGGUAUUUUCAAAAACAACUAUUGGUGCAACAACAACAACUUUGACUAUUACAAGUGCUCCUCCAGCAUCCUCAUCUUUUGCACCAACUUUGACUACUGGUGCGGCAGUCACAACUAUUCCUGAAACAAAAAAAGUCCAUCCAGCAACAACUGUUGGUGCAACAACAGCUUUGUCUACAUUAUCUGUUCUAGCACCAAUGUCAACAUCUGAUGCUGCUUCCACAACUAUGGCUGACACCACAACAAAUAUUGAUUCAAAAACAUCAACUUUGACUACCACAAGCACUCCUCCAAUAUCCUCAACUGUAGCACAGUUCUCAAAAUCUGAUGCAGCAACCACUACUAUGCUUGGAACGACAACAGUUCUUCCAACAAAGCCUAUUAAUGCAACACCAACAACUUUGGUUAACACAAGCACCCUUGCAACAUCUUCACUUGUAGAACCAAUGUUGACAGCUGAUGCAGCAACCACAACUAUGGCUGACACCACAACAAUUACUGGUGCAACAACAAAUUUGGCCAACACAAGCACCCCGCCAAUACCAUCAGUUAUACCACCAACGUCAACAUUUGAUGUGGCAGCCAAAACUAUGGCUGACACCACAACAAGUAUUGGUGCAACAGCAACAACUUUGACAACCACAACUAUGGCUGACACAACAACAAAUAUUGGUGCAACAACAGCAAAUUUGGUUAACACAAGCACUCCUCCAACAUCCUCAACUGUAGCACAAUUGUUGACAACUGAUUCAGCAACCACAGCUAUUCCUGAAAUAACAGUGGUACUUCCAACAACGAUUGGUGCAACAACAACAACUUUGGCUACCAGAAGUACCCUUUCAACAUUCUCUACUGUAGCUCCAACAUCAACAACCGAUACACCAACUACAACUAUGCCUGAAAAAACAUCAGCACUUCUAACAAAUGGUAUUAUUGUUGAGGCAACUAAAACUUUGGUUUCCACAACAACAAACAAUCCAACAUCUACUAUGGCUGAAACCACAACAACCCUUCCAGUAACUUUGGCCACACUUCCAACAUCCUUGACUAUAGAACAAUCUUUGGCUGCUACAACCAUCCCUCAAACAUCAUCAAAUAUAGCACCCAUGUUGACAACUGAUAGAGCAACUACAACUUCACCCGAAACAGCAACGAUUCUUUCAGCAACAACAAUUGGUGCAACAACAACAACUCUGGCUGCCAAAAGUACCUCUCCAGCAUCCUCAUCUGUAGCACCAACAACUGAUGCAGCAACCACAACUAUGCCUGAAACAACAACAGUCCUACCAACAACACCUAUUGGUGCAACAACAACUUUGACUACAAGCACCCCUCUAACAUCAUCACUUCUAGAACCAUUGUUGACAUCUGAUGAAGAAACAACAACUGUGCCUAAAACAACAGUUCUUGAAACAACAGUUUUGUUUAACAUAAGCACCCUUGCAACAUAUUCAGUUGCAGCACCAAUGUUGACAACUGAUGCAGUAACCAAAACUAUUGGCGCAACAACAACAAAUAUCGCCAACACAAGCAUCCCUCCAUCAUUCUCAUCUUCAGCACCCUUAUCGACAACUGAAUCAACAUCCACAACUAUGUUUGAAACAACAACAGUACUUCCUGUUACAACUACUAGUGCAACAACAACUUUGGCUGGCACAAAUACACUUCCAACAGCAACUAUAGGUGAGACAACUAUAAUCUUGGGUCUCAAAACCACAGUAGCUCCUCCAACAUUCUCAACUAUCACACAAAACACCACAACUCAUUCAGAAACUACAACUAUGCCUGCAAUUAAUACAAGUAUUGGUGAAAAAACUACAACUUUGACCCCCACAAGCACCACAACCCCUCCAACUUUGCUGGAGGAGUCAGUGACAACAACAUCCAAGAAUAUUCAUCCAGCAAGCACAACAAUGUCUGAGAUGAAAAUUACUACCUUCGGUGCAUUAAAAACAGAUAUAACUGAUUCAACAACCACACCUAAUUCUAAAAUCACAACAACUAGUAGUGAAACAAUUACAACCAGAAUGUCCUCCUCAACAUUGUUGGAAGAGCCAACAACAGCACAAUCACAAGCUAUAUCUAAUUUAAAUACAACAACAGUUCCAGUGUUUACAACAACAGCUUUGACUAAUUCUCACACAGAAAAUAAUCCUGCAGUGCACUUCCUAACAUCUACAGCAGUCCUUGGCAAAACAAGCUUACCUCUAAUGAACAGAACUGGUUCAGCACUGGUUACAAGCAAACUGCAGUUUAACUCCUCAUCUCCAGUCCCCAGAGAAACUCAGGUCCUCAGUGUUAUCAAGACUCUUCUCGAAUCCAGAGAGUCACAGCUCAACAAAUCAGUUCAAGUGCUGAAUGUCACCUAUAAAAAUAUCUCAGAGACCUCUUAUGCAAUCAUCUUUACGUUUAACCUGAUUGACAUUAGUAUACCAAAGGACCCUGCAGUAAAGAACAACACCUAUCAGCACCUGCAGAAUGUUAUCAAUAAUAUGUUGAACACACUUCUGAAUGAACCUGGCAGUCAGGUUUUUGAAGCCAAGUCCUCCAAAUUCACGAGCACAGAAAACCACAUUGAGGGCAGUAUGGAAUAUAUCUUCGACAGCAAAGAUCAACCCACCAUUUUGUUGAAGGAGCUUAAUUUACAGAACAGCAUAAUAACAACGACCCUUGCAACACCAGGCACAUCUAAAACCACUAAAGGAACUACAGCUUUGAUUGGGAGGGUGAUUUUUUACAUUCGGCUCAUUUUUAUCACACGGGGCCCCAUACCAAGUGAGAGUCAUGUUCAAAAUUUGGUCAACGUACUGCUGGCCCCACAUCUCAGAGCUAAACAAGACACAGCACAAGCCCUGAAUGAUCCUGUGAGCUAUGUGAAUGCCAGCUAUGAGAAAAUUGCUGAUAAUUCAUAUGCCCUCAAACUUGGCUUUGAGAUCAACAAUCCAUCCAUGGCAGAGAAACUUGAACUCAGGGAUGGCAACUACACAUUCAUUCAAAACUCCAUAAAAAGAAAGCUAAACCAAAUCCUAAGUGACUCUGACACUUCUGUUGAGUUCAACAAAGCCAAUUUCACGAAAAAUUCCAUGGAGGUCAUUGCUGAUAUUGAUUAUAUUUUCCGGCAACAAGACAUCAAGUCACCCAGUGACUUCCUCCAAGAACUUCUCAAAGUUAUGAAUAGCUUAACAACUCCAGCUCCAACAGGGAAUAAAACAACUCAGAAACCUGUACAAACACCAAAUGUGAUUGGGAAGGUGAUUAUUUACAUUCGGCUCAUAUUUAUCACACGGGGCCCUGUACCAAGUGAUGCAAAAAUAUUACAAUUGGCAAACUCUCUGCUGGCCGCACGUUUCAGAAUUAAACGAGAACUAAGGGCACAAAGCUUAGGUACCCCUGUGAGCUUUGUGAAUGUUACUUACACAAAACUUUCUGAUACGUCAUAUUCCCUGAAUUUUGGAUUUGAAAUCAACAAUGUUACCAUGUCUCAGAAACUUGAACUCAGGGAUACAACAUAUAAAUUAAUCCAGGACUCUAUAAAUAAAUUGUUGAACGAGAUCCUAACUGAGCCCACAGCCACUCCAUUUGAGUUCAAAGAUACCAAUUUCACGGGUAAUUCCACCACUAUUCAGGCUGAUGUACAGUAUGUUUUCUCAGAAAACGACAUCCAGAAACCCAGUGCCUUUCUCUAUGCACUUAUUGUGGUUAAUAAUGAGACUAUUACCACUACAACUACACCUGCUGCAACAAGAACCACCUUUUACUCCACAGUGCUGAGCACUACAAUCACAAAUAACAGCACUAGUGCAGCAUGGGUUGUGGCCAUUAUUGUACCCUGUGCUAUUGUCAUCAUCCUCGUACCUUGCUGGAUUCUCCUUUGUGUAAGUUUCAUAAAGAUUUAAUAAUAAUAAAAAAAAUGCAUAUUAUAAUUGAAGUGAUUAG
ensembl:lncRNA